rnacentral:rRNA from 1 species
AGGACGAACGCUGGCGGCGUGCUUAACACAUGCAAGUCGAACGGAAAGGCCCGCUUGCGGGUACUCGAGUGGCGAACGGGUGAGUAACACGUGGGCAACCUGCCCUCAGCUCUGGGAUAACUCCGGGAAACCGGUGCUAAUACUGGAUAUCGACUUCUGCCUCGCAUGGGGUGUUGUUGAAAGUUUUUCGGCUGGGGAUGGACCCGCGGCCUAUCAGCUUGUUGGUGGGGUGAUGGCCUACCAAGGCGACGACGGGUAGCCGGCCUGAGAGGGCGACCGGCCACACUGGGACUGAGACACGGCCCAGACUCCUACGGGAGGCAGCAGUGGGGAAUAUUGCGCAAUGGGCGGAAGCCUGACGCAGCGACGCCGCGUGAGGGAUGACGGCCUUCGGUGUAAACCUCUUCAGCUCUGACGAAGCGAGAGUGACGGUAGGAGCAGAAGAAGCACCGGCCAACUACGUGCCAGCAGCCGC